AGCUGCUUUUGGACUACAACUCCCAUCAUCCCUAGCUAGCAGGACCACUGGUCAGGGAUGAUGGGAAUUGUAGUCCCAAAACAGCU